rnacentral:misc_RNA from 1 species
AAUCGGCAAAGCUUUCGUGAGACAAGGGUCGCAGUUUUGUGGCAAAUGUUCACUCCAAAAAGUUUAUCUAUGAAAAUUUCUUUGCCCGCAUGCAUUCUGCAGUAGAAAUGCCUUCUUGAAAGCAGAAACUCUCUGUGAAGGAACUGCCAAAGUAUGCUCUGCAGCGGAAAGGUCAAUUCUUUAUUUUCUGUCAAGUUAUCAAUGCUUGUAUUAUGAAGUGAUAAGAAUU